UAAAGGUGNCGUUCAGCUCUACAUUGGGGAAGGGGGAUGGUUAAUCCAACCAGCUUGAUCAAUAAUCUUCUAGAAGUUGUCUGAGAACCAUCUGGCACAUGAUAGGUGCCAAAAAGAAAUACUGCAUUUUCAGAUGGACUCAAAUCUCAGACUGCGAAGGGUUGCCUCUGAUACAGUUGAGGCUUUGCUAAGAAAAACCUGCUGUUACUGAAGAGGAGAGAAAUCUCAGACAGGUAGGUAUGCAG
rnacentral:lncRNA from 1 species